GUCCACUGGUCCGCAAGGACCGCUCCCCCCGCCUUCGGGCAGGGCGGACCCCGCGCGAUUAGCUCAGCGGGA
rnacentral:tRNA from 1 species